rnacentral:rRNA from 1 species
GGAUACUGAGUGCUUAUUGCACCACAUGUGUUUUUCUUUGAAACAAACUUGCUUUGGCGGUGGGCCCAGCCUGCCGCCAGAGGUCUAAACUUACAACCAAUUUUUUAUCAACUUGUCACACCAGAUUAUUACUAAUAGUCAAAACUUUCAACAACGGAUCUCUUGGUUCUCGCAUCGAUGAAGAACGCAGCGAAAUGCGAUACGUAAUAUGAAUUGCAGAUAUUCGUGAAUCAUCGAAUCUUUGAACGCACAUUGCGCCCUCUGGUAUUCCGGAGGGCAUGCCUGUUUGAGCGUCGUUUCUCCCUCAAACCGCUGGGUUUGGUGUUGAGCAAUACGACUUGGGUUUGCUUGAAAGACGGUAGUGGUAAGGCGGGAUCGCUUUGACAAUGGCUUAGGUCUAACCAAAAACAUUGCUUGCGGCGGUAACGUCCACCACGUAUAUCUUCAAACUUUGACCUCAAAUCAGGUAGGACUACCCGCUGAACUUAAGCAUAUCAAUAAGCGGAGGAA